rnacentral:rRNA from 1 species
UCUUGAACGUAAAUUUGAUUAAAUUUACCAGAGUACUAUGAAUCAUAUAAAAUUUAAAACUCAAAGGGCUUGGCGGUGUUUUAGACCUAUUAGGGGAACCUGUCCUGUAAUCGACAGUCCACGUUAAACCUGACCUUUUUUAGUAAUCAGCUUGUAUACCGUCGUCGUCAGGUAACUUUUAAAAAACUAGAAGUUAGCUAAUGCAAUUUUUAUAAAUUAAAACGUCAGAUCAAGGUGCAGCUAACAAAAAGGAAAGGAUGGGUUACAAUUAUAUUCUUAUAAUUACGGAAGAUUAUGUGAAAACGUAAACGGAAGGAGGACUUAAAAGUAAAAUGUAUUACAUAAAUGAUUUGAAUAAGGCUCUGAAACGUGCACACAUCGCCCGUCGCUCUCGUUGAAAAAUGAGAUAAGUCGUAACAUAGCAGGGGUAAUGGAAAUUGCCCCUAAAUG